AUAUAAUAAGUCCUACCUGCCCAGUGAUUUUUUCAACGGCCAUCUUUGAUGAUAACGUAGCAUAAUCAAUUGUCUAUUAAUUUUAGACUAGAAUGAAUGGAUUAACGAAAGCCGAACUGUCUCCUAUUUCCUAUCAAUGAAAUUAACCUCUCUGUCCAAAGGCAGAGAUAACUCUAUAAGACGAAAAGACCCUAAAAGCUUCAAAUAUUAGAUUACCUAGCUUAAACAACAACUAAAGAAAAGUUUUAAUUCCUAAAAUUUGGUUGGGGCAACCAUUGAUAUUAAAGAAUCAUCAAUAAUUUAACUAAUAACUUGCAUAAUAUUAGAGUUACAUCUCAAUUAAGUAAGAAACUUAUAAAAAUGACCCAGAAAACUGAUCAAUGAACAAGUUACUUUAGGGAUAACAGCGCUAUUUCUUUUUAAAGUCCCCAUCGACAAAGAAGCUUACGACCUCGAUGUUGGAUUAAGAUAUCCAAGUGGUGCAAAAGCUACUAAUGGUUCGUUUGUUCAACGAGUAAUAUCUUACGUGAUCUGAUUCCAGACC
rnacentral:rRNA from 1 species